rnacentral:rRNA from 1 species
GACGAACGCUGGCGGCGUGCUUAACACAUGCAAGUCGAACGAAGUGGCGAACGGGUGAGUAACGCGUAAUCAACCUGCCCUCCAGAGGGGGACAACAGUUGGAAACGACUGCUAAUACCGCAUACUGAAGGAGGGGAUUGCGUCGGAUUAGCUCGUUGGGGGGGUAACGGCCCACCAAGGCGAUGAUCAGUAGGCGGUCUGAGAGGAUGAACGGCCAACAUGGGACUGGGACACGGCCCAGACUCCUUCGGGAGGCAGCAGGUGGGAAUCUUCCGAAAUGGACGAAAGUCUGACGGAGCAACGGCGCGUGAGUGAUGACGGCCUUCGGGUUGUAAAGCUCUGUUAAGCGGGACGCGGUACCGGAAGAGAAAGCCACGGCUAACUACGUGCCAGCCGCCGCGGUAAUAC